rnacentral:rRNA from 1 species
AACGAACGCUGGCGGCGUAGAUAAGACAUGCAAGUCGAACGAGACUUUUCGUUGUAGCAAUACGAUGGAAAGUUUAGUGGCGAACGGGUGCUUAACACGUGGGCAACCUGCCAGGAAGUGGGGGAUAGCUCGCCGAAAGGCGAAUUAAUACCGCAUGUGAUUAGAAAGGACAUCCUUUCGAAAUUAAAGUCGGGGCAACCUGACGCUUCUUGUGGGGCCCGCGGCCUAUCAGCUAGUUGGUGAGGUGAUGGCUCACCAAGGCUUUGACGGGUAGCUGGUCUGAGAGGACGACCAGCCACACUGGGACUGAGACACGGCCCAGACACCUACGGGUGGCAGCAGUCGAGAAUUUUUGACAAUGGGGGAAACCCUGAUCGAGCGACGCCGCGUGGAGGAUGAAGGUCUUCGGAUUGUAAACUCCUGUCAUUGGGGAACAAGGUGCAUACGUUAACUGCGUGUGCAUUGAUAGUACCCGAAGAGGAAGAGACGGCUAACUCUGUGCCAGCCGCCGCGGUAAAAC